rnacentral:rRNA from 1 species
GAUGAACGCUGGCGGCGUGCCUAAUACAUGCAAGUCGAGCGAACGGACGAGAAGCUUGCUUCUCUGAUGUUAGCGGCGGACGGGUGAGUAACACGUGGAUAACCUACCUCUAAGACUGGGAUAACUUCGGGAAACCGGAGCUAAUACCGGAUAAUAUUUUGAACCGCAUGGUUCAAAAGUGAAAGACGGUCUUGCUGUCACUUAUAGAUGGAUCCGCGCUGCAUUAGCUAGUUGGUAAGGUAACGGCUUACCAAGGCAACGAUGCAUAGCCGACCUGAGAGGAUGAUCAGCCACACUGGAACUGAGACACGGUCCAGACUCCUACGGGAGGCAGCAGUAGGGAAUCUUCCGCAAUGGGCGAAAGCCUGACGGAGCAACGCCGCGUGAGUGAUGAAGGUCUUCGGAUCGUAAAACUCUGUUAUUAGGGAAGAACAUAUGUGUAAGUAACUGUGCACAUCUUGACGGUACCUAAUCAGAAAGCCACGGCUAACUACGUG